AGAUUUAAGGGGACUCAAUUACAGUCCCACUGAAAAGCAGGUUAUGCUCAUUCAAGUCUAUUUUUAGAUCUUGUUCCUAAAUAAGUACACCAGAAUAGCAUUCAGUUUGAAAAUCACCAUCUGUUCAGAGCAAUGAGCUUGGCCUCGCUGGGCUGGGUAUACCUUCUAAGACUGCACGAACAAAAAUGAAGUAGUGCAUGGACCAAUGAGGUGAUAAGACCCCAGCGGAAAAAUUUUCUCCAAUAUUCCUCUAGGAAAGAGUCCUAGCAGCAAGAACAUUGGUCACGAGAUUGGCCAAGGGAUCAAUCAACUCUCUAGUCCCUUCCCGUGAUGUGAAAUGCGGUGCCAAGUCACUUAUUGCCAAUGAUUAAGUUGGAUGAUAUGGAGAAACAUAAAUUUCUUUCUUUCUUUUUUUUUUUUGGAGUUCUAAAAGGAAGACUCUUUGAAGUCCCUGGCUUCUGGCACAGUGUUGUUGCUGGCUUGGUUAUAUUACUCUUGAUCAUUAUAAAAACUCUCCAUUAAAACUGAUAUAAUACUUAAGACAAACAUGCUGUAAUUAUUACAUGAAUAAAGAGCUUGUGUAGCAUAAACUGUUUUUGUAACAUCAACACAAAUUCUGUUGGAGCAGGCUAAUAAUUAGCCAAUAAUAUCUUAACCUAGAAAGUCUUCUGAAAUUUCACCAAGGGCUAAUUAUACAUUCUAGUACCAACUAGAAUAUAUCUGGUUCCCUAACAUAUAUUGGAAAUUAAAUUUCAUCUUCAUUUUACUUUUUUUUUUUAAGGAAAGGACUCUUCGA
rnacentral:lncRNA from 10 species